rnacentral:rRNA from 1 species
GGUUAAGCGACUAAGCGUACACGGUGGAUGCCCUGGCAGUCAGAGGCGAUGAAGGACGUGCUAAUCUGCGAAAAGCGUCGGUAAGGUGAUAUGAACCGUUAUAACCGGCGAUGUCCGAAUGGGGAAACCCAGUGUGAUUCGUCACACUAUCGUUAACUGAAUACAUAGGUUAACGAGGCGAACCGGGGGAACUGAAACAUCUAAGUACCCCGAGGAAAAGAAAUCAACCGAGAUUCCCCCAGUAGCGGCGAGCGAACGGGGAGCAGCCCAGAGUCUGAAUCAGCUUGUGUGUUAGUGGAACGGUCUGGAAAGUCCGACGGUACAGGGUGAUAGUCCCGUACACCAAAAUGCACAGGCUGUGAACUCGAAGAGUAGGGCGGGACACGUGGUAUCCUGUCUGAAUAUGGGGGGACCAUCCUCCAAGGCUAAAUACUCCUGACUGACCGAUAGUGAACCAGUACCGUGAGGGAAAGGCGAAAAGAACCCCGGCGAGGGGAGUGAAAAAGAACCUGAAACCGUGUACGUACAAGCAGUGGGAGCACCUUCGGGUGUGACUGCGUACCUUUUGUAUAAUGGGUCAGCGACUUAUAUUCUGUAGCAAGGUUAACCGUAUAGGGGAGCCGCAGGGAAACCGAGUCUUAACUGGGCGUUAAGUUGCAGGGUAUAGACCCGAAACCCGGUGAUCUAGCCAUGGGCAGGUUGAAGGUUGGGUAACACUAACUGGAGGACCGAACCGACUAAUGUUGAAAAAUUAGCGGAUGACUUGUGGCUGGGGGUGAAAGGCCAAUCAAACCGGGAGAUAGCUGGUUCUCCCCGAAAGCUAUUUAGGUAGCGCCUCGUGAACUCAUCUUCGGGGGUAGAGCACUGUUUCGGCUAGGGGGUCAUCCCGACUUACCAACCCGAUGCAAACUACGAAUACCGAAGAAUGUUAUCACGGGAGACACACGGCGGGUGCUAACGUCCGUCGUGAAGAGGGAAACAACCCAGACCGCCAGCUAAGGUCCCAAAGUCAUGGUUAAGUGGGAAACGAUGUGGGAAGGCCCAGACAGCCAGGAUGUUGGCUUAGAAGCAGCCAUCAUUUAAAGAAAGCGUAAUAGCUCACUGGUCGAGUCGGCCUGCGCGGAAGAUGUAACGGGGCUAAACCAUGCACCGAAGCUGCGGCAGCGACACUAUGUGUUGUUGGGUAGGGGAGCGUUCUGUAAGCCUGCGAAGGUGUGCUGUGAGGCAUGCUGGAGGUAUCAGAAGUGCGAAUGCUGACAUAAGUAACGAUAAAGCGGGUGAAAAGCCCGCUCGCCGGAAGACCAAGGGUUCCUGUCCAACGUUAAUCGGGGCAGGGUGAGUCGACCCCUAAGGCGAGGCCGAAAGGCGUAGUCGAUGGGAAACAGGUUAAUAUUCCUGUACUUGGUGUUACUGCGAAGGGGGGACGGAGAAGGCUAUGUUAGCCGGGCGACGGUUGUCCCGGUUUAAGCAUGUAGGCUGAUUGUCCAGGCAAAUCCGGAUAAUCAAGGCUGAGGUGUGAUGACGAGGCACUACGGUGCUGAAGUAACAAAUGCCCUGCUUCCAGGAAAAGCCUCUAAGCAUCAGGUAACAUCAAAUCGUACCCCAAACCGACACAGGUGGUCAGGUAGAGAAUACCAAGGCGCUUGAGAGAACUCGGGUGAAGGAACUAGGCAAAAUGGUGCCGUAACUUCGGGAGAAGGCACGCUGAUAUGUAGGUGAAGCGACUUGCUCGUGGAGCUGAAAUCAGUCGAAGAUACCAGCUGGCUGCAACUGUUUAUUAAAAACACAGCACUGUGCAAACACGAAAGUGGACGUAUACGGUGUGACGCCUGCCCGGUGCCGGAAGGUUAAUUGAUGGGGUUAUCCGUAAGGAGAAGCUCUUGAUCGAAGCCCCGGUAAACGGCGGCCGUAACUAUAACGGUCCUAAGGUAGCGAAAUUCCUUGUCGGGUAAGUUCCGACCUGCACGAAUGGCGUAAUGAUGGCCAGGCUGUCUCCACCCGAGACUCAGUGAAAUUGAACUCGCUGUGAAGAUGCAGUGUACCCGCGGCAAGACGGAAAGACCCCGUGAACCUUUACUAUAGCUUGACACUGAACAUUGAGCCUUGAUGUGUAGGAUAGGUGGGAGGCUUUGAAGCGUGGACGCCAGUCUGCGUGGAGCCAACCUUGAAAUACCACCCUUUAAUGUUUGAUGUUCUAACGUUGGCCCCUGACCGGGGUUGCGGACAGUGUCUGGUGGGUAGUUUGACUGGGGCGGUCUCCUCCCAAAGCGUAACGGAGGAGCACGAAGGUUAGCUAAUCCUGGUCGGACAUCAGGAGGUUAGUGCAAUGGCAUAAGCUAGCUUGACUGCGAGCGUGACGGCGCGAGCAGGUGCGAAAGCAGGUCAUAGUGAUCCGGUGGUUCUGAAUGGAAGGGCCAUCGCUCAACGGAUAAAAGGUACUCCGGGGAUAACAGGCUGAUACCGCCCAAGAGUUCAUAUCGACGGCGGUGUUUGGCACCUCGAUGUCGGCUCAUCACAUCCUGGGGCUGAAGUAGGUCCCAAGGGUAUGGCUGUUCGCCAUUUAAAGUGGUACGCGAGCUGGGUUUAGAACGUCGUGAGACAGUUCGGUCCCUAUCUGCCGUGGGCGCUGGAGAAUUGAGGGGGGCUGCUCCUAGUACGAGAGGACCGGAGUGGACGCAUCACUGGUGUUCGGGUUGUCAUGCCAAUGGCACUGCCCGGUAGCUAAAUGCGGAAGAGAUAAGUGCUGAAAGCAUCUAAGCACGAAACUUGCCCCGAGAUGAGUUCUCCCUGAGACUUUAAGUCUCCUGAAGGAACGUUAAAGACGAUGACGUUGAUAGGCCGGGUGUGUAAGCGCAGCGAUGCGUUGAGCUAACCGGUACUAAUGAACCGUGAGGCUUAACCUU